CUUUUUUUUUUUUUUUUUUUUUUUUUUUUUUUUUUUUUUUUUUUUUUUUUUUUUUUUUUUUUUUUUUUUUUUUUUUUUUUUUUUUUUUUUUUUUUUUUUUUUUUUUUUUUUUUUUUUUUUUUUUUUUUUUUUUUUUUUUUUUUUUUUUUUUUUUUUUUUUUUUUUUUUUUUUUUUUUUUUUUAUUUUUUUUCUUUUUUUUUUAUUGUCUGUUUUUUUCUUUUAUCCUGUUUUUCUUCCUUUUCAAGAUCUUGAAAAGAGAGAGAAAAUGAGAGAGAGAGAAUGAGAAAGAGAAAACGAGGGAAAGAGAAUGAGAGCAAGAGAGAGAGAGAGGAGGAGAAAUUUUUGGAGUUUUUUUAUUUUUAGUGGCUUUGAUAUUGAAAAUACUAUAUAAAGAAUUUUAGAUGAAAUCAGUCAGUUGAUACAAUUAUUGUUGUUAUGUGCUAUUAUCGUAUGAUAAGCGGGUGGGGCUUUUCUUGUUUUCGUAAACAUCAAGAUUUUAUUGGUUGGGUCUAUGAUUCCAGCCUACAUGAUACUCAAAAGGGCCCUGGUUCAUCUGGAAAUGAAAAGUGCUUUAUGAACGUUUGGAUUGGUGCUUCCUUGACUCGGUUUGGUAACUUCAAUUUCUACCCACCUAUAUCGUGUUAAGUCGGAUCACCGACCUAUUUUCAUGGUUGCGACCAAGCUCAAGAAGUCAAAUCUUCCUCAUACCUUUCGCUUUAUGGCUUCAUGGUUGUCACAUGUUGAGUUUAAGCCUUUUUUUGUCGGAAUGGAAUCGGUCUUUUACCUUUAUUCAUCAGAUGUCCAUUCGAGCUACCAAACUGAAAAAAUGAAAUAAGGAAAUUUUUGGCAACAUCCAAACGAAUAGAAGGAGCUUAUCUUUAAACUUGCUGAUGUUUAAGCUCUCGCAGCUCCUCUACUCAUUCAAGACACCACAAUGGACAUUGCAAGUGACCGGAAUACUCAUUUUUUUCACGUAUCCACCUUCCGUAGGCGUGCUCGGAACCACAUUAUUAAGUGAAGGAUGACUGUGGGGUGUGUAUUCAUUAGGUUUGGGAGUCGGUUAAUUUGGUUAAUAACCAUCGGUUAAUGGUCGGGAAGCGCUUUGAUGAUUGAAAUUAAUUAACCAAAUUAACCGACCGAGCAAAAGCCACGGUUAAUCUUACCGACCGAUAACCGACCAAUCAGUUAAAUGAUCGAUUAUUAACAGACUGACUCUCGGUUAACCGUUGUAACCGGCUCUGACCAAUUUAACUCUCUUCUCAUAUUGCAACAAGAUUCUAGGCUCUGGCUCUAGAUCCGUCGUCGAUUCAAGCCUUGGAGACCAUAGCUUCUCUUCUGGAAACAAUCCGGUGCUCUACAACUUGAUCCUUCGGGACUGGAAGCUUUCCGAGACGGCGUUGUUGCGGAUCAGUAAGGAGAGGAGGAAGCUUCAAGCCUAUGGUGUUGCAGAUCGAAGAAUUGAGAGAGUGGAGGAGGAGAGGAUUGGCCGUGGCGACGAAGGAAGCAUGUGGUGUUGCAGAUCGAAGAAUCGAGAGAGUGGAGGAGGAGAGGAGCGCUUGCGGUGACUCGUCGUGGUCGUCGUCGUGACUGCCGGCGAGAUGCUGAAAUUGAAUCGCUUGGAUUGAUAGAGUUGUCGAGAUGGAUUGAUGGAGUUGUCGAGAUGGAUUGAUGGAGAUGGCUCGGAGUUAACCUAAUUUCAGAAUGAGAGGUUGUGAUGGAGUGGGAGGCUGGGAGGGGAGGGAGCGAUUCUGCGAUUGUGGUGAGCAAAGCUUGAUUUCCUAAUUGGGGACCUUGGUUUUUUUAAUUACCGGUUAACGUUGGUUAACUCGAGUUAACCAACGAUUUUACCCUGCUCCAACAAGUACUCCCAACUGUUCCCCGACCGACCCCUACCUCGGUUAAACCGACACUCUAACCGAGUCGAUCAGUUCAUCUGUUUAACCUAUUAACCGAGACUGAUGGCCCACCCUUAGUAUUCAUCCAGCUUGUUGCUGCAAUUAGUGUCGUAUUGAUAUGGUUGAGAGAGGAUAAAAUAUGCUUGAUUUCAAGUUCUCCAACUUGAAAGGUUUAGCUGUUAAAAAUGUAGAGGUCAUGACUGAGUACUGAUUUCCAGCAAGGAGAAGUUGGAUAUUUGCUUGCGAUAAAAAAGAAUUUGGACAGUCUAUCUUAGGCACAAAAUCUAACGGAUGAGAUGGCAACUUUACUUCAGGGGCCUAUUGGUCAUUUUAAAAUUUUCUUGUUUUUCAGUUUAUUUUUCCAUUCUGUUUAAUAUUGGUUCAAGUAAAAUGAUUUCUUGUAAAUUGGGUCUAUUGAGUAACGUGGGUGGGUAGACUUUAUUGCUCCCAUCGAGCUUGACGUGAUAUUUUCUUCUUCGUUUCUUUAACAUGCAUAAAUUGUAUAUAAUACGAAAGGUUGGAAAUAUAUGUGAAGCUCGAGGUUUAUUAUAUAUGUUUCGAGGUUUAUUAUAUAUGUUGAACCUUUUUGCCAAUUGGUUAUUUUUAUCAUGUAGUGCCUUAUCAAGUAAAGGGAAUGGUUGUUUUUAUCUACUGUCACUAGCCAACUUUCUUUCUCAUGUGAUCAAUUAUUUGAUCACGCAUGAAUGACUACAGUACACAAAAGAUAGAAAUAUUAUAAAAACAAAAAACAAAUAUUAAAAAAAAAUACCUAAAAAGCAGGUACAUAACAACAAAAACAAUAACCGUAAAUAUCAAGUACAUGAAAGCGGAUGCUCAAAAUAAGCACGCACACAUUAAAAACUUUGGUACAUACAAGGCAAGAAAAUCGAGAACAUAUUGGAACUCGAGUACCGGAAUUGGUACGGUAUUAAGUACAACGUGAAGAAAUAUCAAGUACAUUAAAAAGCGAGUAUAUAACAAUAGAAAUAAGUACACGAAAACAACUCAGAGAAAUGAUAAUUUGAUUGCCAAAAUUGAGUAUGAUAAAGUAAAAUGCAAGCACGUAGUACAUGAAACAAAUAUGAGUAAGAGUACAUAAAUUUUUUAGUACAAUACAAGACAAAAACUCAAAUACAUAUAAAAACUGGACACUAAAAAAAAUAAUUAAUUAUUCACAAUUUUAAAUAAUAAUAGUCACGAUUUUUAUCAUGAUUAACAGAAGCUAGUCACGAAAAUAAAUCCGUAACUAACCUAACCGAUGCUAGAUGAACUUGUCACGAAUCUGAAUAACCUGUAACUAAGUUGUCACCGAAAUUUUCCGUGACCAACUCAUCACGGAAGAAACCGUGAACAUAUGUGUUUUUGUUUUUGUUUUUUAAAUUAGUGGCACGGAGCCAUAUGCUGUGAUAAUUGAUUUAUUAAUAAAUUAAUCCCACAUCUCCGUGGCUACUAUAUCACCAGAAUUUCCAGAUUCCGGCAACCACAAUUUCCAGAAUCCGGCAAUAAGAUAGAGUUGAUAAUUGCUUUUUUAUUAGAGUAAAAUGUUCUACAUCUAUACAUUAUGAUACCCAUAUCAAAAUUCCAGAAUCCCAAAAUUGAACAUAACGUCAACGAAAGGCACCAUGCAACAAUGGUGACACUAAGGGUUACAACAACCAGCAAAACCGAAACACAGACUGGAAAUGCUACCAAGAGAAGGAUGAGACUAGAUGAUGAGAUUGAGAUUGAGAGAAGAAAAAUGAUAGUAAGAAAUUUUGUUUUCGAGAGAGAUCAAAUGAAGAUGAGAUCUACUUCUAAUUUAAUAUAAUGGAAAUGGAGAUAUGGUUGUUUAAUGGCAAAGAGAGAAGAAAGGAAUAGCCCAUUAAACGAGGAUAGAGUCUGCAUCAUUUCUUUUUUCGACCUUUUCCCACUAAAAUGCUAAUUUUAAAAUUAUAAAUAAAAGUUGGUCACGGUUCCAACAUUUACCGUGAGUAGUUGGUCGCGGUAUUCAACAAUCCAUGACUAGUUAUGGAUUUUUUUUU
rnacentral:lncRNA from 1 species